UACAUUAUUAAAAAAACAUACAUACAUUCCCAUUUAUAAAGACGCUUCACAUUUAAACAUUUGUUGAUUUAAAGUUUAUAAAUAACUGUUUCAUAAAAAUAUACAUUUUAUAAUAGUAUUAGAAAAAUAAUGUUGACGAAAUAUUAAUAAUAUAUACAUCUUAGUUGUAUAAAUGUACUGCAGUUUAUCACUUACCGGUGUCCAGUCUGAUACCAUCACUGAUCACCCAGCCUGCUUUUAUACAGUAAUAAUUUCCUAAAAGUUGAACGUGUUCAGGUUGAACUUGUGUGCAGAUUGAUCAGGUUCAGCAUAAUAUCAUACUUUACUCCACUAUAUUUCAUAAAAACAUAUCAUUCCUCAUUAUUUCGAACUGAAGAAAUCGUCUCAGGUUAUGUGCAGUUGUGUUCAAAAGUUUACAUACAAAAUGUUAAUGAUUUUAACAAGAUAAGAGGGAUCAUAAAGAAUGCAUGUUUAUUUAGUACUGUCCUGAGUAAGAUAUUUCACAUAUUUACAUAUAGUCCACAAAACAAAAUAAUAGCUGAAUUUAUAAAAAUGACCCCAUUCAAAAGUUUACAUAUGUUUGGUUCUUAACACUGUGUGUGGUUCUUCAGAAAAAUCCUCCAGGUUCUGCAAAUUACUUGAUUUUCCAGCAUCGUUUGCAUAUUUGAACCCUUUCCAGCAGUGACUAUGAUUUUGAAAUUCAUCUUUUCACACUGAGGACAGUUGAGUUUUCAAAAACUUGAACUUUGAAACCGUUUUCAAAAGUUUGCACUUUCAGGCCACCAAUACGCGGUUGUUGUGUAAAUGAACGGCCAAAACACAUAAAACGUUUUCAGUUUUUAAAUGAAAACGGUGUCGUGUAAACAGCCCCUAAAACACAAACAAACCAAACAACCCUGACAGUCAUUUACUGAAUUUUUAAAAACAUUAAUGGUUAAUUCAAAACGUUUUCCAUCAUUUUGAAAAAAGAAAAACACAAACAAACAAACCUACACUGUAAAAACCUGCAUUUGUUUAGGAGCAAAAAAAUAAAUAAAAUGACCCAUAAAUUAUGACCCAUAAGUUGGUAUAAAUUAAUGUAACUCAGUGAUGUUAAAUUAUAUAUAUAUAUUGAUUUUACGGAUGACUUUGAACAGUUUUAAAGGAAAGAAACCAAAUGUACCAAAAUGCUCAUCACAUCAAACAUUUUUAAAAAGAAAAAACAAAGAAAGUUUUGACGAAAUAUGUUCUGGUGGAAAAAAACAGGCAGUGAAAAUUGUGUCUAAAUUUCAAAUCAAGCUCAUGUGGUGGUUACACAACUGUUCAGGGUAAAUUAAUCACCAAAAUACUUUAUUUCCAGACACUACUCAAAGGGAUAGUUCACCCUAAAAUGAAAAUUAAGUCAUCAUUUACUCAUCCUAAUGUUGUUCUAAUGCCAGAUGCCCUUCUUUCCUUAAAAGGGUUAAAGGUGUAAGAUGAAAAAAAAAACCCCCAAAAAAACAGAGUGAAACGUAAUUUAACAGUAAUCAACUGUAACAGUAAUAUACUGUAAAAUGUAAAAGUCAGAUUUUCUAAAUGAAACAAGUUAAUUUCACUGAAAUAUUAGUGAUAGUUAAUAGAAAAAGUUAUGCAAAGUCAAUAACUGAUAAGGAGAGUAAAUAUUGAACUUAAGUGUUUUUUUGUGUUUUUGUACAUUAUGAUAUAGGAGAGAUCUUUUAGUUUAAUUCAUUCAUUUUGGGGGUCACCAUUGUGCUGGAGAGUAGAGCCUGUGCUUCAGUCAUGAUGAGCUGAGAAACACUGAUGCCAUACCGCAGGUUGCUUCAUUUAAAGGCAGUAACUGUGUAGUUGCUGAUGCAGUGAUAAGCUGUUUGCUGAGUACUUUAACACAUAUAUGUGUGUUAUUGCUAGCUUAGACAAACUGCAACAAUUUGAGUUAAAAUCAUGUUUUUAAUUAUUUCACUAUUAUACAUUAAGUGUUUACAGUUAAGAAAUAUUCAUUUUCAGUUGACUCCAAUGAAAUAAGUUCACAGUACUAACGCUGUAUAAAUACUAGUUUUUAAACUCAAACCGUUUAAAGCAAUUGGUUUCCCAAAUGAAAUGAGUUAAUUUUCAUGGUAGUAUUACAGUAACAUACUGUAAAAAAGGAGAGCUGUAAAUUUACGGUAGAGGGCUGUAAAUUAACAGUACAUUACUGGCAACCACAGCUGCCAGUAGAUUACCGUUAUUUUACAGCACAAUUUUUUACAGUGGAAUUUGAUGAAUCUGCAGGAUAUGAUGCAAACCCACAUGAUAUACACACUUUUACAAAAAAAAAAAAAAAAAGUAUAUUUUGGAAGCUUUUUUGUUUCAAUAAAACAAACAAUUAUAAACUAAUUUUGAACUGAAGCUUUUCCAAAACAAGGCAUCACUUACAGUAAACAAGAAUUAAGUUGUACUUGCAUCAUUUCAGUGAAUCAUCUGAUUCAUUUUGUGUUUUGACGCUCAGCAGCAGCACUUCCUCUAAGAGACGUUAUAAAGUUACACACAUCAAUCUGCACACAAGUUCAACCUGAACACGUUCAACAAGAUCCCAGAAUGAAGACUCUGCUGCUUUCACUCCUCUGUGUGUUUGUGUGGUCUCAACACACAGAAGGUUUCACUGAUCAGCAGGUCACUUUAGGACAGAAUGUGACUUUAUCUUGUGAGUUUAAAUGUAAAGCUGCUAUUUGGUUUGUGAUCAAAUCAUCCGCUCGUCCAAUGAUGAUACUGCGAACUUUUGGAUCUGAAGUGGCUCAAUAUUACGACGAAAAAUUCCGCAACAAAUAUUCAGAGGGAAGCAGGAGCCAAUUAAUUAUUAAUAAUAUCACUGCUGAUGAUUUAGGAACUUAUUACUGUGUAAAACCAAGCAGGACCACUCUAGAGAUCAGUGAUGGUAUCAGACUGGACACCACUGGAGCUCACCCAGAUCUCAGUGAACCAGAGCAACAAAAUCCACCACAAGAUCAGAGAUCAUAUCAGAUCCUGAUCGUCAUAUUAACCCUGUUGAUUGUUAUGCUAUCUGCUGCAGUAAUAGGUUUAUUAAUGAUGAACCGUAAGCUGUCUCAGAAGAUUCCUAAAUAUGUAAAUGGUCAUCAGAUUUCAAAAAGAAGAAUAACUUCUAUCCAGACCAACAGCGCUGUUGUUCCUCCUCAGAAUCCACUGACCGAUCAUGAAUAUCUAGAAGUACUGCCAUAUUCUGCAUAUGAAAUAGCAUACUGAGAGACUGAUUGUUAUUUGAUUCUAAAGAUCAGAACUGUGUGCUGCUUUAACAUUAAAUGUCAAUCAAGUUUUAUGAUAACGUUUGAUUUGAUAAUUUAUCAACUUUGUAAAGUUUUUGAUUAUUUGUUUAUGUCUCUUUCUGAGUUGCUUAGACACUAAAAGAGGUACUUGAGGCCCACUCAGUGAAACCAUUCACUCAUACAUCUAAUCUUCAGACCAAGUCUGCAAAACUACAAGCACAUUAUGUGCUUUAAACUCAGUUUGCUAUUAUAAAACAUGCACGGUUCUUUACAUUACACACUUCAAAACUGCCAUUUAAAUGCCACAAUCAUUUCACAAUUACCUACACACAACCAUCAUGUGUGAAAACUCUUAUACAUAAAUUGAUCACUUAGAAAUCAAAACUCAAUGUUUUGAGAAUGAAAGACAUUCUUUUUACCCCUUUACAUUUCUGUUUAUAGUGUGAAAAACGGACAUGGACAAGAAAACCCAUAAAAACCUCCAUUAAAAUGAUUUUCAGUGUUAGCAUGCCGUGAAACUUAUUGCUCACAAAUGAAUUAAUUUUAGAUGGCCUAGUUUAGAUUUCACAAGAAGUAACGCAUAAAUGACGUCUCUCAGUAAGUAUUUUAAUAUAGAAAACGUCAUCAUCACGUGUGGAUAUAGCGCCAUCUACCUGCUGGUUAACAGGACACUCCAAGUGGAAACUUAUCAUUAAAAAAGUUAAAGACAAACUUGUUUCUUGAACACCAAUUCAGCAAAAUGGGGUGAUUUCU